AUGAACGCUAGCUACAGGCUUAACACAUGCAAGUCGAGGGGCAGCAUGGUCUUAGCUUGCUAAGGCCGAUGGCGACCGGCGCACGGGUGAGUAACACGUAUCCAACCUGCCGUCUACUCUUGGACAGCCUUCUGAAAGGAAGAUUAAUACAAGAUGGCAUCAUGAGUCCACAUGUUCACAUGAUUAAAGGUAUUCCGGUAGACGAUGGGGAUGCGUUCCAUUAGAUAGUAGGCGGGGUAACGGCCCACCUAGUCUUCGAUGGAUAGGGGUUCUGAGAGGAAGGUCCCCCACAUUGGAACUGAGACACGGUCCAAACUCCUACGGGAGGCAGCAGUGGGGAAUAUUGGUCAAUGGGCGAGAGCCUGAACCAGCCAAGUAGCGUGAAGGAUGACUGCCCUAUGGGUUGUAAACUUCUUUUAUAAAGGAAUAAAGUCGGGUAUGCAUACCCGUUUGCAUGUACUUUAUGAAUAAGGAUCGGCUAACUCCGUGCCAGCAGCCGCGGUAAUACGGAGGAUCCGAGCGUUAUCCGGAUUUAUUGGGUUUAAAGGGAGCGUAGAUGGAUGUUUAAGUCAGUUGUGAAAGUUUGCGGCUCAACCGUAAAAUUGCAGUUGAUACUGGAUAUCUUGAGUGCAGUUGAGGCAGGCGGAAUUCGUGGUGUAGCGGUGAAAUGCUUAGAUAUCACGAAGAACUCCGAUUGCGAAGGCAGCCUGCUAAGCUGCAACUGACAUUGAGGCUCGAAAGUGUGGGUAUCAAACAGGAUUAGAUACCCUGGUAGUCCACACGGUAAACGAUGAAUACUCGCUGUUUGCGAUAUACAGCAAGCGGCCAAGCGAAAGCGUUAAGUAUUCCACCUGGGGAGUACGCCGGCAACGGUGAAACUCAAAGGAAUUGACGGGGGCCCGCACAAGCGGAGGAACAUGUGGUUUAAUUCGAUGAUACGCGAGGAACCUUACCCGGGCUUAAAUUGCAGAUGAAUUACGGUGAAAGCCGUAAGCCGCAAGGCAUCUGUGAAGGUGCUGCAUGGUUGUCGUCAGCUCGUGCCGUGAGGUGUCGGCUUAAGUGCCAUAACGAGCGCAACCCUUGUUGUCAGUUACUAACAGGUUCCGCUGAGGACUCUGACAAGACUGCCAUCGUAAGAUGUGAGGAAGGUGGGGAUGACGUCAAAUCAGCACGGCCCUUACGUCCGGGGCUACACACGUGUUACAAUGGGGGGUACAGAGGGCCGCUACCACGCGAGUGGAUGCCAAUCCCCAAAACCUCUCUCAGUUCGGACUGGAGUCUGCAACCCGACUCCACGAAGCUGGAUUCGCUAGUAAUCGCGCAUCAGCCACGGCGCGGUGAAUACGUUCCCGGGCCUUGUACACACCGCCCGUCAAGCCAUGGGAGCCGGGGGUACCUGAAGUGCGUAACCGCGAGGAGCGCCCUAGGGUAAAACUGGUGACUGGGGCU
rnacentral:rRNA from 1 species